UGAGCAACCUGCCCUUGACCCUGGAAUAACAGCUGGAAACAGCUGCUAAUACCGGAUACGACCUUCGAUGGCAUCAUCUGGAGGUGGAAAGCUCCGACGGUCAAGGAUGGGCUCGCGGCCUAUCAGCUUGUUGGUGAGGUAACGGCUCACCAAGGCUUCGACGGGUAGCCGGCCUGAGAGGGCGACCGGCCACACUGGGACUGAGACACGGCCCAGACCUCCCGUAAGGGACGG
rnacentral:rRNA from 1 species